UACGUAGGGUCCGAGCGUUGUCCGGAAUUAUUGGGCGUAAAGCGCACGUAGGCGGCUUUGCAAGUCGGAUGUGAAAUCCCUCGGCUUAACCAAGGAAGUGCAUCCGAAACUGCAGAGCUUGAGUACUUAAGAGGAUCGCGGAAUUCCCGGUGUAGAGGUGAAAUUCGUAGAUAUCGGGAGGAACACCAGUGGCGAAGGCGGCGAUCUGGGAAGAUACUGACGCUGAGGUGCGAAAGCGUGGGGAGCAAACAGGG
rnacentral:rRNA from 1 species